ensembl:lncRNA
AUUCGUGUGAAGUGGGGUUCCUUCACGCGGAAAACGCGGAAUUUUUGGGUGAAAGGUGGUAUGUUCAGGGAGAAAAUGUGCGAUUUUCCUUUGAAACGUAGAAUUUUCGUGAAAAAAAUGCGUGGUUCUUGGGAGAAAUGGGGUUGCUUCGCGCAGAAAAUGCGUGAUUUUCGGGGGAAAGGUGGUAUUUUCGGGGAGAAAAUGAGUGAUUUUCCUUUGAAAGGUGGUAUUUUCGGAAAAAAAAUGCGUGGUUCUUGGGAGAAAUGGGGUUGCUUCGCGCAGAAAAUGCGUGAUUUUGGGGGGAAAGGUGGUAUUUUCGGGGAGAAAAUGAGUGAUUUUCCUUUGAAAGGUGGUAUUUUCGGGAAGAAAAUGCGUGAUUUUGGGGUGAAACGUGGUGUAUUUGCGGUAGAAAGGCGUUAUUUUCCGGUGAGAAGUGGUAUUUUCGGGAAGAAAAUGUGGGAAUUUUCAAGGGAAAAGUGGUAUUUUCCGUGUGGAAAUGCGUGCUUUUCGAGAGAAAGGUGGUAUUUUUGGAGAGAAAAUGCGUGAUUUUGGGGUGAAAGGCGGUAUUUUCGUGGAGAAAACGCGUGAUUUCUAUUUAUAAAGUGGUAUUUUUGGAGAGAAAAUGCGUGAUUUUGGGGUGAAAGGCGGUAUUUUUGAAUUGAACAUACAUGAUUCUCGUGCGAAAAAUGGUAUUUUUAUGGUAAAAAUGCGUGUUUUGGGGGUAAAAUUUUCUAAGAGAAAAUGC